UUUCAGGCAAAGAAUCACCCAAAGAAACAAUUUAGAGGCAAAUGGAGAAUCUUUUCCACAAGUAAUUAAUACCUUUAAAAGCAUGUUUGAAAUAAUUAGUGGAUGAAAUGAUCAGAGCGGAAAACACAUUUUUAUGAAAGAACAAAUUUACAGGUGAAUGUGACCAAUGAAAAUAUUUGAAGUUAAACAAUGAAGAUCAAGUGAUUGAUGCUCUUUUUUGGUGAACAGUUUGGAGUUCUGCUGACUGGUUAAAAGGAAUGGCCAUCUACCCCAACUAGUGAGGGAGCGUGUUUUAAUCCACUAAUGUUGCAUAUUGAUCUUGGAAGAUUUGCAAUGUGAUACGUGCAAUAGAUAUUUUUGCAGCUGGUACCAAGUGUAUCCAGUACUAAUAUUUAUUUUAUUAUUCAUUACAUUCUUGUACUUUCCAAUUUUUAGGCAUAAAAUUUGAUAUUUACCCUUGAAAUACUGAAAAAAAAAUCAAUUUUCCUACCCUUUGGAAGUCUAGGAGAACGCUUUCUCUUUUGGUUGCAGUGUGCAUUGGUUUCCUAUUGCUGUUGUAACAAAUUACAGCAAAUAAACCAUGUAAAUUGAUUAUCUUA